rnacentral:rRNA from 1 species
UACGUAGGGUCCGAGCGUUGUCCGGAAUUAUUGGGCGUAAAGGGCUCGUAGGCGGUCUGUUGCGUCGGGAGUGAAAACUUACAGCUUAACUGUGAGCGUGCUUCCGAUACGGGCAGACUUGAGGUAUUCAGGGGAGAACGGAAUUCCUGGUGUAGCGGUGAAAUGCGCAGAUAUCAGGAAGAACACCAAUGGCGAAAGCAGCUUUCUGGGACGGUACUGACGCUGAGACGCGAAAGCGUGGGGAGCGAACAGG